UAAGUAACAUUUUAUCAAUUACAUGAUUUCAAUCUCAGUGAAUAUUAUUUAAAAUUAGGAUUUCUUGAGGGUGGGCAGUGGUGCACUUAUAUACCAAGCAGGAGGACUGGGGUUCACUCCUCACCUGCAGAGGAGAAACUUCAUGAGUAGUCGAGCAGGUCUAUAGGUCUCUCUCUCUCCUUUAUCUCUCCCUUUCCCCACCUCUCAAUUUUUCUCUGUUAAAUAAAACAAAAUAGAAUGUAAAAAACAAAAGGAAAAUAGAACUGCUGGGAGUAGUGUGGGCACUCAGCCCCAGCAAUAAUUGCUGGAGGCAAUUAAAAACAAACAAACAAACAAAUAAAUAAAUAAAAUUAGGAUUUCUCUUAGAAUAUUUCCUGAGCUUCUUUCAGAAUUAUAUAGUUUAUAGAAAGAAGGAUGAGUCCUCCAUUUCUGGCAAAGAUCAACACCAGGGGGUGUAAAAAAAAAAAAAUCUAGAUCCUUCCCCUCCUGUAGGCACUCAUCCACCCUCCUUGAGUGAAGAGAAAGAUCACACCACACCAAGAGUGUAGAGAAGACACCACCAUGAAGAUGCUGUUUAUUCUACUGCUUCUGCAGCCUGUUAGCUCUGUGCUUGGUACUCUUGUCUCUCAACACCCAAGCAGAGUUCUCUGCAAGAGUAAAGCAUCAGUGGUCAUCCAAUGCACCUUGGUGGACUUUCAGAGCACAACUAUGUUUUGGUAUCAUCAGCUCCCCAAUCAGGAGCUCACACUAAUAGCAUCUUCUAAUACGGGUUCCACUGCCUCAUAUGAACAAGGUUUUUCCAAGGAGAAGUUUCUCAUCAGUCAUCCGAAUGUAACAUUUUCUUCUCUGACGGUAUUGAAAGUGGAUCCUAAAGAUGGCAGCCUCUACUUCUGUGGUGCCAGUGACACAGAGCUGUGUGAAGAGCAGAGACCCAGACAAGAACCAGUGUGA